CGCCAGACUCCUACGGGAGGCAGCAGUGGGGAAUAUUGCACAAUGGGGGAAACCCUGAUGCAGCGACGCCGCGUGAGCGAAGAAGUAUUUCGGUAUGUAAAGCUCUAUCAGCAGGGAAGAAAAUGACGGUACCUGACUAAGAAGCCCCGGCUAACUACGUGCCAGCAGCCGCGGUAAUACGUAGGGGGCAAGCGUUAUCCGGAUUUACUGGGUGUAAAGGGAGCGUAGACGGUCCUGCAAGCCAGAUGUGAAAGCCCGGGGCUCAACCCCGGGACUGCAUUUGGAACUGUAAGGCUGGAGUGUCGGAGAGGCAGGCGGAAUUCCUAGUGUAGCGGUGAAAUGCGUAGAUAUUAGGAGGAACACCAGUGGCGAAGGCGGCCUGCUGGACGAUGACUGACGUUGAGGCUCGAAAGCGUGGGGAGCAAACAGGAUUAGAUACCCCAGUACUA
rnacentral:rRNA from 1 species